rnacentral:tRNA from 1 species
UUUUUGGUGUAAGGGCACAUUAAAUUUUGAUUUUAAAAGGGAUGAUUCAAUUCAUCAAAAUUAA